CGGGCUUGAACUGCUGAGGACAGGCCGAGAGAUCGGCUCUCCCUUCGGGGUCUCAGUGGAGGUGCUGCAUGGUUGUCGUCAGCUCGUGCCGUGAGGUGUCGGCUUAAGUGCCAUAACGAGCGCAACCCUUGCCCAUAGUUGCCAGCAAGUCGUGUUGGGCACUCUGUGGGGACUGCCAUCGCAAGAUGCGAGGAAGGUGGGGAUGACGUCAAAUCAGCACGGCCCUUACGUCCGGGGCUACACACGUGUUACAAUGGGGGGAACAGAAGGCGGCUUACAGGCGACUGUCGGCGAAUCCCCAAACCCCCUCUCAGUUCGGACUGGAGUCUGCAACCCGACUCCACGAAGCUGGAUUCGCUAGUAAUCGCGCAUCAGCCAUGGCGCGGUGAAUACGUUCCCGGGCC
rnacentral:rRNA from 1 species